rnacentral:rRNA from 1 species
AAAGACCGUGAAACCGCUCAGAGUAUAAGCCAAUGGAGCUUGGAAGGCUUCCGCAGUCUCGGGCAUCACACGUGGUGUUUCGGAAGGCAUGUAGCACGGUUCGUCAGGCGGAGCAUUGAGUUUGCCGACCAGCUGACGUACGGGGAUUCGGUUUGGGGGUCUCAGGCUUCGGCCGAAGGGCUUCUGGCCGUUUCCUUGAGAAUGGGCGUUCAGAGCUACUGUGUCUAAUGCGGUUACGCCCACCACGGCACGUUGUGAGGUCACCCACAGGCUCAAACUGCCGAUCGCGCAUCCAGGACGAUGGCAACGAUGCGUCUCUUUUGCUUCAGCAUUCGGAGCAUCGACGCGUGUCUAGUCCUGGGUCGGGCGGCGACCGAGAUAAACCUGGUAUGAUCCUCUUGCGACGAGCUGCUUUCUGGCCAGACCGACGUCCGGGCGCUUCCACUGUGCCGGAAGUGCCAAUCCCAGGCGGUAUGACCCAGCUGCAUUCUGCAAGGUCUCUCAGCCGGGCGUUGGUCUGAGUGGUGUUAAGUCCAGCACCAUCGGUCACGUCUCGAAACACGGGCCAAGGAGUAUAGCAUGUGUGCAAGUCUAAGGGUCUCACAAAACCCGAAGGCGAAGUGAAAGCAAGACUGUGGCGGGGGAGCUACGGCGAACCCGCCGGCCUAGUGGCACUCUCUGUGUUGCCUGGCUUUUAGCAGAGCUGAUCCUGUUUUCUCGGUUAAUUCUUGGUGCAGGCGCAAGCUCCGGGCUCACGUACAACACUGGUCACCUCGUGUGGCUGUGUUGUGAGCACCGUGGAGCAUGC